UGGGAGCUCACAAAAUUUAAGUGGAUCGGAGAUAGACGAGAGGAAUCUUUCAUUCUUAGGCUCAGAUGUCGGGAUCUGUACGGAGGAGAGCUAAAAGUUGACCCACCAAAACCUUCCCUCUCUACCUCUCCACCCCAAGCGAGACACAUCCAAGGGUUGGCUGUCCAGCGGCUGGGACAUGGAGCUGGUCUCUGAAGGCUUUUAACCCCUCGGCCACCAGACAGCUAGACCUUGGCAGAAACCUCCAGUCUGACUUUACACUCGGAGACGCUCUACAUCCAGUGAGCUGAUUGGUAGUUAAACGAGGCUUGUGUUGAGUUCACCUACUCAUGCUGUCUCUUUGCUUUAUGUCCUGGCUGAAACAGGUCAUGACCACAAAUUCCUGCCGUCUUCUCAAGUGUAUCUGCUGAUGCAGAGUGUGUCAACUCUGAGCUUGCAGGGAUCUUUUGUGGUAAAAAUUUUAGAUAAAUUCAAGCAGUAUUGUUUAUGCUAAAUUCCAGUCAUUAUCUCUUCUCGUCCAGAGGCCCUGCAGAACGGCUUGUUUUUCUUGCAUGUUUGCAGAAGCGGUGUGAGUCAGUAAGUGUCAGCCUGCCGUAACAGACGGCCUGCACGAGGUAAUUAGCCCGAAGUCAUUUGGAAGCAGCUCAGCUCUGCCCAGGUGCCUACUGCACAGAGACCAGGCGACCUUUUACUCUGCUCCGUCCCACUGCAGUCACUUAAAACAGAGAUGGAUACCCACCCCCACCUUUUUACACCUCCACCCUUGCCUUAUUUAUCCCUUUUUUCCCUCCUUUUUUCUCCACUAUCCCAUUUUCACUCUUCCUCCAGAGGGGAGUGAUGACUAGGAAGAGGUGGCACCCCCACCUCCACAAGAUCUCAUUAAUAUGUGCUGGCCGGCGCUCAGGUGACGUGGCCGCUAGAUUCGGUCCCGACUGCAGGAACACCAGCAGCGAGGUGGCGAACAGGACAGCAGGUAAGGAGACAGAGAGCACGAGGGAGAGAAGGAGGGAGGAGAUUGGGAUGGACUUCCUUUAUGGACUUGACUCCCCGGGUUGUGCACACUCAACUCUGCUGCAAGGCAAAGCACACACAUUCAUGCACUAGUCCAUCUAGGUUCUGCAGCUUAUCUGUGUCAGUACACUCAGCUGAGCAGAUUAUUAAAUGGAUCCAUUUACUUCCAAUGUUACUCUUCAUUGUAAACAGUGAUUUUA